rnacentral:rRNA from 1 species
GACGAACGCUGGCGGCGUGCUUAACACAUGCAAGUCGAACGAAGUGGCGAACGGGUGAGUAUUACGUCGGUAACCUGCCCUCCUUUUUGGGAUAAACCUUGGAAACGGGGUCUAAUACCCACUAUAGGGUGAUGGGCUCGCGGCCUAUCAGCUUGUUGGUGGGGUGAUGGCCUACCAAGGCGGUGACGGUGAGCCGGGCUGAGCGGGUGCCCUGGCACAUGGGGACGGAGAUACGGCCCAGACGCCGACGGGAGGCAGAAGUGGGGGCAAUGGCACAAUGGGCGAAAGACUGAUGCAGCGAGGCCGCGUGGGGGAUGAAGGCUGUAGAGUUGUAAAACUGUGUCGGUAUCGAACGGGUAGGUGGAGAAGAAGCGCCGGCUAACUACGUGCCAGCAGCCGCGGUAAUUC